rnacentral:rRNA from 1 species
CAGCAGCCGCGGUAAUACAGAGGGUGCGAGCGUUAAUCGGAUUUACUGGGCGUAAAGCGUGCGUAGGCGGCUUUUUAAGUCGGAUGUGAAAUCCCUGAGCUUAACUUAGGAAUUGCAUUCGAUACUGGGAAGCUAGAGUAUGGGAGAGGAUGGUAGAAUUCCAGGUGUAGCGGUGAAAUGCGUAGAGAUCUGGAGGAAUACCGAUGGCGAAGGCAGCCAUCUGGCCUAACACUGACGCUGAGGUACGAAAGCAUGGGGAGCAAACAGGAUUAGAUACCCCCGUAGUCCCUGUCUCUUAUAC